rnacentral:rRNA from 1 species
UAGGGAAUCUUCCGCAAUGGACGCAAGCCUGACGGAGCAACGCCGCGUGAGUGAAGAAGGUCUUCGGAUCGUAAAGCUCUGUUGACGGGGACGAACGUGCGUGAUGCGAAUAGUGUCAUGCAAUGACGGUACCUGUCGAGGAAGCCACGGCUAACUACGUGCCAGCAGCCGCGGUAAUACGUAGGUCCCGAGCGUUGUCCGGAUUUAUUGGGCGUAAAGCGAGCGCAGGCGGUUAGAUAAGUCUGAAGUUAAAGGCUGUGGCUUAACCAUAGUACGCUUUGGAAACUGUUUAACUUGAGUGCAAGAGGGGAGAGUGGAAUUCCAUGUGUAGCGGUGAAAUGCGUAGAUAUAUGGAGGAACACCGGUGGCGAAAGCGGCUCUCUGGCUUGUAACUGACGCUGAGGCUCGAAAGCGUGGGGAGCAAACAGGAUUAGAUACCCUGGUAGUCCACGCCGUAAACGAUGAGUGCUAGGUGUUAGACCCUUUCCGGGGUUUAGUGCCGCAGCUAACGCAUUAAGCACUCCGCCUGGGGAGUACGACCGCAAGGUUG